AUUGAACGCUGGCGGCAGGCUUAACACAUGCAAGUCGAACGAGUGGCGGACGGGUGAGUAAUGUAUGGGGACCUGCCCGAUAGCGGGGGAUAACUACUGGAAACGGUGGCUAAUACCGCAUACUAUUGGAUCAACCCAUAUGGGAUUAGCUAGUUGGUGGGGUAAAGGCUCACCUAGGCGACGAUCCGUAGCUGGUCUGAGAGGAUGACCAGCCACACUGGGACUGAGACACGGCCCAGACUCCUACGGGAGGCAGCAGUGGGGAAUAUUGGACAAUGGGGGAAACCCUGAUGCAGCCAUCCCGCGUGUAUGAGGAAGGCCUUAGGGUUGUAAAGUACUUUCAGCAGGGAGGCGGUAUCCGCAGAAGAAGCACCGGCUAACUCCGUGCCAGCAGCCGCGGUAAUAC
rnacentral:rRNA from 1 species